ensembl:lncRNA
CGGGCGGCAGGAGGGCACAGGGCAGCCGCGGGGACCCCGUGCCCGGCAUCCCGAGGCCGGCAGGGCGGGGACUGCCCCUUUGCCCACCGCUCCUUUGCAUCCUCAGAGCCAAGGCGGGGAGAUGGAACCGAUCUCAGUGCGGGCAGCGGAUCCACGCAGCUUUUCGCAGCGGAGAUAACGAAUAUUUCCAGGCGCUGACCUCCAGGGGGAAGCCCCAGACGGUGAGCGCCUUUUCUUUGUGAACGCGAGUAACUGAUAAAGGACCCCAACGCGCCUUCAAACACCACCUAAACGGCUGCCGGGAACUGCAGUCACCGCGGGUCACGGGGCGCUCCUGGCUCGAAAAGCGCAAUACAGGAAACGAUCAGGACCAAACCGGUUUAAAGAAGCAGCUAGUUUUAUGUGGUUACCUGAGACCAUAAAUGGGAAACCUGCUCCAAUUUUACAGGUUCUGCUUUGGAGCUCUCGAGCUGAGUUCCUCAGAGCCCCCCGCCCCCUCUCAGAAAGCACCUGGCAUUUCGCACUAACUCAUGGCUUUGAGUUUUCUUGCCUCGAAAAACAGAGCGAGGGUGAAAGCGCUUUGUUCGAAAGGAAUCGCAAAGCUGUAGCCUCUUAAAACUCUGAAUCGUGAGAUGACGCCGGCACCACGCGGCUAGGAACCGAUUUCCAGGGCUGCAUGAAAGCCUCUGUUUUCUUUAAAGGUUUUCUGGCUAAACUAUUAAUUGCCGGGGUUUCAUGAAAGAUUUGCAGACUUUACAAUCAUUUAUGAUCCGUGCCAUAAACCCCGAAAGAUACGAGCAGGCUGGUUCAAGGUGUAAUGCAGAGAUGUAUGAGGUGCCCUUGGCAACUAUCUGUGGGUGCUGUUUGUAUUCCCCGAACACGCCCUUCGCUGCAAUGAACAUUGCUGCGAACCGCGGGUUGGGCUGCUCAUUGCUGGAGCUCCGAAGGCUCACACAAAAGAGCUAUAGAUUUCAGGCAGGAGAAUCCAACGACUGGAAACUCAUUCUGCUCCCCCGACGAGUUCAAAUGCAAGUGAGAUAAUUACCCUUGAAGAAAAGUAAACUCGGAGGGAAAAUAUACGCCUUUCCCUCGUCAAUUAGAAGCCCUCCAGAGAGUAGAUUUGAGCAUUCCGACCCCGACGCCCUCCUGGCCCCCUCAGGGCGGGGAUCACCCCAUUGUCUGCCAGGCAGACGGCGGACGGGAACCCCCCGAACCCGAAGAAAGACCCUUCCGAGCCCGGCGGCGGUGCUGUAAUGUCUCAGGAGCCCACCAGCCGCACCCUGGGCGUCCUAAAGCUUAUCCCCCCGCAGACCUUUGAAGAUUAUGCUAAUGAUUGCAGAUUACAAGAGUUUAUUGCAAGACGGGAGAAACAAAACCGGCCUCGUGGCGGUUUCCCAUGGUGAUUUUUCCGCCUCUCUUUUAAGAUGAUUCGGGCCCUCUUACCCCCCGGCCGCUUCCCUCGGCAGCCGCAGGGUGAGGCGGGGGCUCCCUACGCACCUAACGGGCCGGGGGGGCCGCAGCUCCGGGCAGCGCUGCUCGUAGCUCCGUGCGAGACCCAGCCGUGCCACCUAGCGGCCCAUCGCGCCGCACCGCGCCGCGCCGGGCCGGGCCGGGCCGCAAUGGGCCUCGCUCACGGCAGCCACGGGGCGAAGGGAGGGCACGGCACCUCGUGGCAGCUGUCUCGAAGUGGGAGCAUCGCGGCGCGGUGUUGCGCGCAGUCCCUACCACCGCAGGGUGUAAGGAAGCGACCAGCAGCAGAAGGGCUUUACGCUGCCUGAAUGCUUCGUUCACCUCGGUCUCAUCCCAUCUUCAGCCUUUCAGUCCUCAGAUGUUCAUCCUGUAGUUACGUUGCUAAAUAGAGCUUAAGAGCCAGGGCCUGCCGUCCUGUUCCCACCUGAGCUAUGCCAGUGAUCCCAUCAGCUCCUUCCCCGCUGAAAACAAAUGAAGGGUAGGGGUACAGCAUCACCUCGGAUGCUGCCGUUAGCAUAAAGGCAGUGAGUGUGCAGAAGUGCAAUUCGUGUUUGUGGUGUUUGUGUUUGUGAUUAAAAGUCCUGCUGGGCUAAAGCAGCAGUAAGGGUUCCACACAUACACUGUUGCUGUUGUCAUAUGAACAAGUAUGAUGAAAACUGUUCCUCAGACGAAGACAAUAACUGUGUACUUACAGACUGUAUUUUGAUCUUGUUGCUUAUUCCAGGCCAUGCUCAUAAUGUCCUUUAUGCAAAUUAUGAUUAGUUUCUAUUCCUCCCAAAAUGCAGGCAAGAGAUACAUGCCCAGUGAUAAAAAUAUUCCAUGGUUAUUGCAAGUCCUUCAAUAUACCACAUGUAAAGCACUGGCCACAGCAUAUCAGCUGCCUAACGGUUUGUUGCUUGGUUUACAUUUGGGAAGCGUGAUGUUCCAUCACCAUCUGCUGCCUUCAAUGUCAUUUAAAAUAUUGAAUCAUAGAAUCACAGAAUCAGUUGGAAGGGACCUUUAAAGGUCACCUAGUCCUACUCCCCUGAAAUGAAUAGGGACACCUACAGCUAGAUCAGGUUGCUCAGAUCCCCAUUCAGCCUGAUCUUUAAUGAUAUAUAUAUAUAUUCCUCAUGUUUAUUUAUAAAGAUGAUUGGAAAUGUUAAUAUGCAUGACAGUUUCAGCAUAUAUAUGUAUUUGUCUGUCUACACACCCUGUCCAAUAUGGGCUGUUCUGAAAUGCUCUUUAGUCAAGUGCAGACUUCUGCUAGGUUUGAAUAUACAAUGGUCACCUUGGAUUGCCUCUCAGGAUAUAAACAUUUUAGGCAAUAUCUUGGAAACUCAAGGACAGGUGAUUGUGGGACACUGUUGUGAAAAGAGAUUAAAGCAGUACUGAUGUGAGAACACAGCAAAACUGAAAAAGGCUUGAACAGAUCUCUAAAACAGGUUAGAAUGGGGAUUAAGAGGAUGAAAGUGCUUAUGAUACAGAACUUGUACACAAAUAGUUCCGCCUCAUUGAUUCUGUUAGGGAUGGUUGGAUUAAAAAUGUAGGCAGGGCAAAAGAAAAUGAUAUUUUUAUCGAUAAGUGAGUGUAAUUCACGCUGCGUAUGCUGAUAAACAGUGUGCGUACAUUGAGAUUGACAGUGUAGGCAUGGCAGAUGAAAAUGAGCUUUUGCUGAGAAUUGGGAAUAAUUCAAUCUCUAUUGCAUCAACUGAUGAAAACUAGAGUGUUUUCAAUUGAACACCACGAGAAAAAAAUGGCACUCCAGAAGUCUAAUAAACCAUUUAAACAAAUUACUUCUCCCUGGGUUAAUAAUGCUAAUUCAACUAAUUGUCCUGUCUUGCUAUUUUCAUGCUUAUGUAUAUGUACAGAUAAAACAGUUCAACUUUCCUAAAAUGUUUAAUUUACCAUCUGUUUUCACAGAAUCCCAGAACAUGUUGUGCUUGGACUGAGUCUGCAGAUUACAUACAGGUUCUGAAGCCCAUUCUGGGUCAUGAAUUGUUGAAUAGAAUGUUUUUAAAUUUAUUCCGUUUGUAGAUUCCUAUCUUUUCUCUUCAGUGAGGUACGGACUCAUGACAGUACUCUUGUUUUUAUUUACUUAGGUAUCCUUUUUGUUUUCCUUCAUCCACAGAUAACCUGUGUUUCACAGAUCACCGUCUGAAAAACACUGGUUUUGGAAAAUAUAAGCCAACGCCUCAUGACUGCCUUCUGUGGAACUGCCUGCACUUAGACUGCUUCAGCAUUGUCCACUUGGGGACUUGUGAUUCAGGUCCAUGUACUAAAUCGGCAGCAGCUGAGGCAGGAGGGGCUGAAGCAGGGGCUGAGGAGAAGUGGCACUCCUCUUGCUCUAAGCAUGUCUUCCUAACUGGAAGCAAGUGGAGACCUGAUCAGAUGAAAGCCACUAAUACUUGAGAUCUGUCACUGAUCAUUCCUGAUGUAAUCAUAGCAAAAUGAUCCAGUGUAACUAAAAAUAAUAAUAAUAAUAAAAAGAGGAUAAGCAGUUUCUGAAGUAUCAGAUCCCAGAGAGGUAGCCCAUUUUAUACAUAGCUUAGCCUUUUGUCUUCUUGUACAAUUACUGAAAUGACUUAGAACGCAGAGUUGUGAUUAUUGUGAUUUUGUGAUUCCUUCUGCAAUUCAUGGAACACAACCACGUUCAGAAGAUGUUGAUUAAUUAAUCUCCACUAUGUUCAUAUUUUUUUAUACAGUACAAGCCAAUUUUAAUUUCUGAAGAAAUGCAAAAGAAUGACAUUUUAAUAAAUUUAAAACUGAAACUUAAUAUAACUAUAGAUCUAAAAUUCCAUGUGUACAUUUUCAGUAAGAAUCAUGUCAUACAGUCUUCCAUAAGUGUAGCCUCAUUGCAGCAUAGGCAUUUUAAUAUUACAGAUGAUGAACCUUAAGUUGCCAUUUAUUUACAUAAAUCUAAGAGCUUAAUAAAAGAAGUGUAAUAGCAAACAUCACUUAAGAUUGCUAAGAGACAACACAUUUACCUAUUAAAUCAUUUGUAAAAUUCAGUCACUUAUCUGAGGAAAUACGUCAAGGUCACCAUAAAAAUAAGCACACUCCAUAAAUCAUAUCACAGUAUAUAAAAUAAUACUUGUCAAUUUUCAGUGCAUUUUUCUCAUACAGAUUUGUACAAAUAGGUACUUUCUUUCACAAUAAAUGCUUGUGGGUUUUUGUUUGUUUGUUUGUUUGUUUGUUUUUGCCAGACUGAAAGUAGGAUGCUUUAAUAAAAUAUGCAAUUUUAUUGCUAGAAAGUUUGUAUAUGUCAUAUGAUAGCAUGUUAACAUGAGUAAGUUUGAGAUAGUCCACCUUUUCCUGACAGAAACAAGAAGUCUGCUUAAGUUGGGUGAUAUGUUGGUUUGAAG